rnacentral:rRNA from 1 species
AUUGAACGCUGGCGGCAUGCCUUACACAUGCAAGUCGAACGGUAACAGGUCUUCGGAUGCUGACGAGUGGCGAACGGGUGAGUAAUACAUCGGAACGUGCCUAGUAGUGGGGGAUAACUACUCGAAAGAGUGGCUAAUACCGCAUGAGAUCUACGGAUGAAAGCAGGGGAUCGCAAGACCUUGUGCUACUAGAGCGGCCGAUGGCAGAUUAGGUAGUUGGUGGGAUAAAAGCUUACCAAGCCGACGAUCUGUAGCUAGUCUGAGAGGACGAUCAGCCACACUGGGACUGAGACACGGCCCAGACUCCUACGGGAGGCAGCAGUGGGGAAUUUUGGACAAUGGGCGAAGGCCUGAUCCAGCAAUGCCGCGUGCAGGAUGAAGGCCUUCGGGUUGUAAACUGCUUUUGUACGGAACGAGAAGCCCCGGGUUAAUACCCUGGGGUCAUGACGGUACCGUAAGAAUAAGCACCGGCUAACUACGUGCCAGCAGCCGCCGCCG